GUCGACCCCUAAGGCGAGGCCGAAAGGCGUAGUCGAUGGGAAACAGGUUAAUAUUCCUGUACUUGGUGUUACUGCGAAGGGGGGACGGAGAAGGCUAUGUUGGCCGGGCGACGGUUGUCCCGGUUUAAGCGUGUAGGCUGGUUUUCCAGGCAAAUCCGGAAAAUCAAGGCUGAGGCGUGAUGACGAGGCACUACGGUGCUGAAGCAACAAAUGCCCUGCUUCCAGGAAAAGCCUCUAAGCAUCAGGUAACAUCAAAUCGUACCCCAAACCGACACAGGUGGUCAGGUAGAGAAUACCAAGGCGCUUGAGAGAACUCGGGUGAAGGAACUAGGCAAAAUGGUGCCGUAACUUCGGGAGAAGGCACGCUGAUAUGUAGGUGAAGUCCCUCGCGGAUGGAGCUGAAAUCAGUCGAAGAUACCAGCUGGCUGCAACUGUUUAUUAAAAACACAGCACUGUGCAAACACGAAAGUGGACGUAUACGGUGUGACGCCUGCCCGGUGC
rnacentral:rRNA from 1 species